UACGGAGGGUGCAAGCGUUAUCCGGAUUCACUGGGUUUAAAGGGUGCGUAGGAGGGCAGGUAAGUCAGCGGUGAAAUCUCCAAGCUUAACUUGGAACUGCCGUUGAUACUAUCUGUCUUGAAUACCGUGGAGGUGAGCGGAAUAUGUCAUGUAGCGGUGAAAUGCAUAGAUAUGACCCGGAACACCUAUUGCGAAGGCAGCAGGCUAAACAAAUAUUGACGCUGAGGCUCGAAAGCGUGGGGAUCAAACAGGA
rnacentral:rRNA from 1 species